rnacentral:lncRNA from 1 species
CCCCGCCUGUUUACUUGCUCGUGGUCGCCCACCCUCCGUCUCUUUCCUAAAUCGCGCAACCCCUAGUAUAGUUAAUUGGGCUGGGACUGGGCUGCGUGUUUGCUCUUGCUAGUCGCGCGCCGCCGCGCUAACAUGUUCCUUCGCUCUUGUUCGUGACACUCCCCUGCUGCCGCCCUGUGCUCUGUUGUUUUCUUAUUCGCUCGUAGGUGAGAAUUUCAUCGAGGAUUGGGCGGGAGCUUGGACUUAGCGGCCAGGAGUAGCGACGCGGAGCUGGGAAUUGUAGGAGUGCCUGGGCCUCACGGUACCGUGAGCACAUGCAUGGGUUUGCACCCUUGAGAGCGUGUGGACACUAAUCCCCCCUCGAGGUUAGAGUAGCGGGGGUUGCGCGAUUUCCGGUUGGUAAGACCGGCGGCUCAACGCAGCAGGUAUGCGAGGUAACUUCAGGUAACAUCCGUAAACCGUCGCUUUGCUGCAUCGCAUACACUGUCUUUGCGCAACGUUUUCCUUGUGCUCUUUAACACAAGUGCGCGAGCCGGUUCAUGUCCCGCGGGCGUGCCGGGGCCUCUAGGGCUCGUGUUUUAGCGACUUGAUUUGUGAGUGUAUGGACAAUUUCUGGUGGUGAAAUUGCCCUAUGCUCACAAAUCUGUCGAAGGGUAAUUUUCGGCGUCCUACUCAGUGCUGUGCUGCGUGCCGUCGCGUCUGGACGAUGCUACCGAAAAUUGCUAUCUUGUCGGAGUUUUGGGCACUAGGCCUGGAGCCCGUUCCGCGGGGUCGGGGACCGGGCUGGGGGCCUUGUGGCGCCUCGGGCGCGCCGUGUUCCUCCUGCUUGUCGCGUUCCUCUGAUUUGCGCCAUAACCUGUACUGACUUUGGGCCCGCCCUCCCCGUGCCGCUGCCCCGCGGCAUCGACGUCCCCAUAAGCUGUACGUGUACUUGGACCUGGUGCUACAUGGCCGCAUGAGGGGAGUACCUAGCGUGUGCCGCCUCCGUCACACCAUGGAGUGGGGAGCGGGGGUUUUUCCCCCGCCAGCCCAUGGUGCUGACACCCCAUUUGCAUUUGCCGUCAUGCAUGCGCCCAUGCCGUCCCCCGCCUGUUUACUUGCUCGUGGUCGCCCACCCUCCGUCUCUUUCCUAAAUCGCGCAACCCCUAGUAUAGUUAAUUGGGCUGGGACUGGGCUGCGUGUUUGCUCUUGCUAGUCGCGCGCCGCCGCGCUAACAUGUUCCUUCGCUCUUGUUCGUGACACUCCCCUGCUGCCGCCCUGUGCUCUGUUGUUUUCUUAUUCGCUCGUAGGUGAGAAUUUCAUCGAGGAUUGGGCGGGAGCUUGGACUUAGCGGCCAGGAGUAGCGACGCGGAGCUGGGAAUUGUAGGAGUGCCUGGGCCUCACGGUACCGUGAGCACAUGCAUGGGUUUGCACCCUUGAGAGCGUGUGGACACUAAUCCCCCCUCGAGGUUAGAGUAGCGGGGGUUGCGCGAUUUCCGGUUGGUAAGACCGGCGGCUCACCGCAGCAGGUAUGCGAGGUAACUUCAGGUAACAUCCGUAAACCGUCGCUUUGCUGCAUCGCAUACACUGUCUUUGCGCAACGUUUUCCUUGUGCUCUUUAACACACACACACACACACACACACACACACACACACACACACACACACACACACAUUCUCCACGUACGCGCAAUCAGCAUACUCUCCGCAUGUGGUGCGGUGUAAUUUGUAACCCCAGCCCAACCUGCGGCAUGCACUACCG